UACGUAGGGGGCAAGCGUUGUCCGGAUUUAUUGGGCGUAAAGAGCGUGUAGGCGGUUUGGUAGGUCCGCUGUGAAAACUCGAGGCUCAACCUCGAGACGCCGGUGGAAACCAUCAGGCUAGAGUCCGGAAGAGGAGAGUGGAAUUCCUGGUGUAGCGGUGAAAUGCGCAGAUAUCAGGAAGAACACCCGUGGCUAAGGCGGCUCUCUAGUACGUGACUGACGCUGAGACGCGAAAGCGUGGGUAGCAAACAGG
rnacentral:rRNA from 1 species